UGGCCUAGACAUAUACCCCUUAAGAAUGGCCGAUCCCAUCAGAUCUCAGAAGCUAAGCAGGUUUGGAGCUGGUUAGUACUUGGAUGGGAGACUGCUGGGAACACCAAGUGCCAC
rnacentral:rRNA from 1 species